UUGUUGUAUGAAAGGAGAGAAGGUUACACUCCCUUUGCCAAGGUCCUUGGGCCUGUACGCCACAGGUACAGUAAGAUACUGCACCAAUUUUGUGGCUUCUCAUCAUGGCUAGGUUUUGUU
ensembl:snRNA